rnacentral:rRNA from 1 species
GAGGAAUAUUGGUCAUGGACGAGAGUCUGAACCAGCCAAGUAGCGUGAAGGAUGGCUGCCCUAUGGGUUGUAAACUUCUUUUAUACGGGAAAUAAAGUGAGGCACGUGUGCCUUUUUUGUAUGUACCGUAUGAAUAAGGAUCGGCUAACUCC